GACAGAGGGGGCAAGCGUUGCUCGGAAUUACUGGGCGUAAAGGGCGCGUAGGCGGGAUGGCAAGUCGGUCGUGAAAUCCCUCGGCUCAACCGAGGAACGUCGAUCGAUACUGCUGUUCUUGAGGAUUGCAGAGGAGACUGGAAUUCCCGGUGUAGCGGUGAAAUGUGUAGAGAUCGGGAGGAACACCGGUGGCGAAGGCGAGUCUCUGGACAUUUCCUGACGCUGAGGCACGAAAGCCAGGGGAGCAAACGGG
rnacentral:rRNA from 1 species